rnacentral:rRNA from 1 species
UCGCCCUUGAGAGUUUGAUCCUGGCUCAGGAUGAACGCUGGCGGUGUGCCUAAUACAUGCAAGUCGCGCGCACUCCCGUAGAUGAUUUUGAUGCUCUGCAUCAAAUGAUUCUACAUUCGAGUGAGCGGCGGAUGGGUGAGUAACACGUGGGUAACUUGCCCUUGAGUCUGGGAUAGCAUCUGGAAACGGAUGAUAAUACCGGAUAACAACUGAAACCACAUGGUUUCAGUUUGAAAGGCGCGUUUGCGUCGCUCUUGGAGGGACCCGCGGUCCAUUAGUUAGUUGGUAAGAUAAAGGCCUACCAAGACGAUGAUGGAUAGCCGAACUGAGAGGUUAAUCGGCCACAUUGGAACUGAGACACGGUCCAGACUCCUACGGGAGGCAGCAGUAGGGAAUCUUUCACAAUGGGCGAAAGCCUGAUGAAGCAACACCGCGUGAAUGAAGAAGGGUUUCGGCUCGUAAAAUUCUGUUGCUAGAGAAGAACGUACCAAGUAGGAAAUGGCUUGGUAGUGACGGUAUCUGGUUAGAAAGUCACGGCUAACUACGUGCCAGCAGCCGCGGUAAUACGUAGGUGGCAAGCGUUAUCCGGAUUUAUUGGGCGUAAAGCGAGCGCAGGCGGUUGUUUAAGUCCGAUGUGAAAGCCUUCGGCUUAACCGAAGAAGUGCAUUGGAAACUGAGCGACUUGAGUACAGAAGAGGACAGUAGAACACCAUGUGUAGCGGUGAAAUGCGUAGAUAUAUGGUAGAAUACCAGUGGCGAAAGCGGCUGUCUGGUCUGUCACUGACGCUGAGGCUCGAAAGCAUGGGUAGCAAACAGGAUUAGAUACCCUGGUAGUCCAUGCUGUAAACGUUGAGUGCUAGGUGUUAGAGGAUUUCCGUCCUUUAGUGCCGAAGUUAACACAUUAAGCACUCCGCCUGGGGAGUACGACCGCAAGGUUGAAACUCAAAGGAAUUGACGGGGACCCGCACAAGUGGUGGAGCAUGUGGUUUAAUUCGAUGCUACGCGAAGAACCUUACCAGGCCUUGACAUACUUCUGUUAGGCUAAGAGAUUAGCUGUUCCCUUCGGGGACAGAUCUACAGGUGGUGCAUGGUCGUCGUCAGCUCGUGUCGUGAGAUGUUGGGUCAAGUCCCGCAACGAGCACAACCCUUGUGACUAGUUGCCAGCAUUCAGUUGGGCACUCUAGUCAGACUGCCGGUGAUAAACCGGAGGAAGGUGAGGAUGACGUCUGAUCAUCAUGCCCCUUAUGGCCUGGGCUACACACGUGCUACAAUGGACAGUACAAUGGGUUGCGAAACCGCGAGGUCAAGCUAAUCCCAUAAAGCUGUUCUCAGUUCGGACUGCAGUCUGCAACUCGACUGCACGAAGCUGGAAUCACUAGUAAUCGUGGAUCAGCAUGCCACGGUGAAUACGUUCCCGGGUCUUGUACAUACCGCCCGUCACACCAUGAGAGUCCGUAACACCCAAAGAUAGUGCGGCAACCUCUUUUGAGGAGCCAGCUAUCUAAGGUGGGACGAAUGAUUAGGGUGAAGUCGUAACAAGGUAGCCGUAAAGGGCGACACGCGAAUUCGAUAUCAAGCUUCAGGUCUGCAGUCAAUACGA